UAACCAUGCAACAUGAAUUAUUUAGGGCAGCGGGCCCACGCCCCACAGGAGGGAAAUUCUAUUGUGAAGGGGGGCUGUUUAAAAAGUUAUUCAAAUUAUUAUUUGUAAUUUCAUUUUUUAAUUAUUUGUUUUGAAAAAUUACUUAGGUUCUGAUUUUCGUUAGAGCAAGAGCCUGUUCGUAGCACCUUGUUCCGUCUUAAAAUAUUGUCUCUGGAUUUAAUGUUUUUCUAAUGUCACUAUACAAUAUUAUUGUAAAUUUGAAAUAGAAAGCUGCAAAAUAGACUUGAGAAAAAUGUGAGCAAGAUCGAAAUAAUUUUCAAUGUACGUAGACGUUAUGGAAAGAUGCAAGGGGUUAAGGGACAAUAUUUGAAUUUAAAUGGAUUUGGUCUCACAACAACUAAUCUGCAAAAUGAAGAAGUAACAUUUACUGCUUUAAAGCAACAAUUGAAAUAGUACUGCGGAUUGAUAAAUAAGGAGUGAAAAGGAGAUUGAUUAGCAGUUGAGUUGUUCCAAGGUAUUGAAAAAAAUGUGGAAAAAAAACAGACUAGUGUCAACACUGAAAUUAGUUUAAUGAUUUAAUGCUUUAAAUAGGUUGAACAUUAUCAAUUUCAGCAGAUUUAAUAUUAUCAGAUAUGUCUAGGUUUUAUGAGUGAUUGGCUAUUUGUUUGAAUUGUUUCUGUUUAUGUAUGGGUAAUCCAUAAAUCAAAAUUUCAGUCUUCUUCUUCUUCAAGUGCCUCUCCAUUACUGGAGUUUGGCCGUCAGUUUCCUGAAGCGCGUCUCGUUCUGCGCCAGAUGUCAACUCAGUUUCAUCUUAAGUAGUCAUAAUUGGUUGAAGUAGUUAUAAGAUUGUUUAAAACCUAUUUCUACUUUUAAAAGUAAGAAUUGUAAACCAAUAAAAUUAUCAAAGGGAUUAAUAAACAUUAUAAAACAGAAACUUAAGUCUGGUAUGAAACUAUUAACUUGAUUUGGUAUUUGUGCUCCAACAUGUUAGAUUUAAAUUUGAUUGAAGCUGAUUAUAAGUUAGGUAAUAGUUACAUCAUUUAAUGUUUCUUUAUAACUGUGAUUAAUAUCCUACAGUUAAUAUGUAAAUGCAAAUCUUAUUUAAGUAAGGAAUAAAUAAAAGUUUUAUGUUUGUAGUAUUUGAUAGUUUUAUUUUUGGCAAUUGCAUUAAGUCUUCUUGAAUUAAUAUCAUCAAAUAACUCCAGUUUUUAUAAGUGAUUUGCUACUAGUUUGAAUUGUCUCUGUUAAUGUAUAUCCAUAAAUCCUAUUUCAGUGUAAUUUAAGUAGCCAUUUAUAAAAGUUGAUUGUUUAAAACCUAUUUUAACUUUCAAAGUAAGAAUUGUAAACCAGCAGCAGCAUCUCUAUAAAAUUAAAAAGGAAUUAAUAAAGAUUAUUAAAUAGAAAUUUGUCUGGUAUGAAAUUAUGACUCUUAAUUAGCUUACAAUUUGAUUUUGAUGUUCAAAAAUGUUAGAUAUAAAUUUAACUUUGAUUGAUACUGAUUAUAAGAUGAAGUUACGUAAUAUUUACAUCAGUUAAAUUUUGUUUUUAGUUAAUAUGUAUGUGAAUGCUAAUCAUGUGUAAGUAAGGAAUGAACAAAGGUUUUAUGUUUGUAGUA